UGGGGAAUAUUGCACAAUGGGCGCAAGCCUGAUGCAGCCAUGCCGCGUGUGUGAAGAAGGCCUUCGGGUUGUAAAGCACUUUCAGCGAGGAGGAAGGUGGUGAGCUUAAUACGCUCAUCAAUUGACGUUACUCGCAGAAGAAGCACCGGCUAACUCCGUGCCAGCAGCCGCGGUAAUACGGAGGGUGCAAGCGUUAAUCGGAAUUACUGGGCGUAAAGCGCACGCAGGCGGUUUGUUAAGUCAGAUGUGAAAUCCCCGGGCUCAACCUGGGAACUGCAUUUGAAACUGGCAAGCUAGAGUCUCGUAGAGGGGGGUAGAAUUCCAGGUGUAGCGGUGAAAUGCGUAGAGAUCUGGAGGAAUACCGGUGGCGAAGGCGGCCCCCCUGGACGAAGACUGACGCUCAGGUGCGAAAGCGUGGGGCAGCAAACAGGAUUAGAUACCCUGGUAGUCCACGCUGUAAAACGAUGUCGAUUUGGAGGUUGUGCCCUUGAGGCGUGGCUUCCGGAGCUAACGCGUUAAAUCGACCG
rnacentral:rRNA from 1 species